UAUAUCAUAUGCCUUUCGUAAGUCCACUUUAAGAGCAUGCAUCUUCACAAGAUUUAUCUGAUUGUAUCCGUGUAAUAGUUUCCUGAGCAAACAUGAUAUUCUCGCUGAUUUUCGCCUUCCCAGGAUGAAAGCAUUUUAACUUCCAUCGAUUAUUUUAUGGAGCACAAAUUGACAGUAAUCUUAGCGAUGAUCUUGUACAGUUUAUUGCAACACGAUAUAUAUUUGCCUAAGACCCGCCAUUACCAUCAUAGAUUGAACCUUGGCUACCAAUGUUACUAAGGUCACAUUGUCUUGUUUAAGAAGUCGUCCUGUUUGAAAGAAUUGUACAACAGAAGCAACUAUGUCAUCUCAAAUAAUCGGUCAAACACCUUUGGAGAAUCUAGCCGAAUAACCAUUAGGUCUGGGUGCUUUAUUACAUCAAUGGAAAAGACAACCUGUUUGACCUCUUUCGACCGAUUAGACCUUGCACGACGCCUCAUCCCAGCUAAGAAUACUUGGUAGUGCAGACUUUAAGGCCAUAAGAUCAAUCUCCCUCGUUAACGUUACUCCUUCCGAUAGAUUCAUAAAGUAUGUAAUAAACCCCCUUUCAACUUGAGAUGCAUCACUAACUGUUUCUCCCAAGGAGGUCUGAUUCUUCAAAAUUUUCUGUGUUGCAAUCAAAAGAUAACUGAGUGCAUUGAUCACCAUCACGUAUCCACUGUAUUUUGGCUUCUUGUUGUAACAUAGACUGCUCCUGUUCAACCACAUUAACAUAUACCACCCCACAUAUCUUGCAAUAAACUGUUGGGUGUGGGAACUCUUGUAACAAAGUUUGGACUUGGCCAAGAUAGUGCCUCGCUUCUUCCACAUUGAUUGAUAAAUCCUCAUUCUUCCUCCUCGUAUGCCAAAAGAUAGGUUUAAGUCGCUUAAGUUUCAUAACAACGGCAUACAUAUGAACCUGGCGGCGGACUAUUCCCACUUUUAGCAGGGAAUAACGGCUCCAAAAAGAGGGGAAGAAAGAGAUAUUUUUCAUGGCAAAACUGUUCUGCCUUUUCUCAUUACUCAGCAAAGGCCUGGUGAAUUGUCUAUGGAUUUUCUAGUGGGUUUCUCCAGCAUCUUGGUACUGUUGGGCUGCACCUGACUCUCCCUCGGGCCCAAGUCCGUAUCACUGCCCGGUCUUUAGGAAUGACCUUGCCCCCAAGGUCGAAUUCUGGAAAUGACGAUUGGAACUCCAAGGCGUUGAUCCAGGCUGCGUCGAGGGCGUCUUGCCCUUCCCAUUGGACCAAAUACUGCUUGCAGCCACGGGGUUCCUCAAAGCGGCACCGCAGAAUACAUCGGGAAUAGUGAGACCGAGAAUGAAGGGGAGAAUCGCUUGUGGCUGCUCCUACUGUUGAAAGAAGAAAAAUGAAAUAAAGAAAUAAGAGAGGUGGAAAAUAAAAAAAAAAAUUAGAGAAAUAAAAGAAAGAAAGAAAAGAAAAAAAAUGGAAAAGAUAAGAAGUGGAAAAUAAGGGGUGGUUGGCGAAAGCAAAAAAAAAAAGGGAAAGAAAAGGGGAAGAAAGAAAGAAGAAAGAGAAAAGAGAAAGAAAGAAAGGAGAAAGAGGAAAAUAGAGGAGAGAGAGAGAGAGCAACGGUUAGGCGGCGGCGAGAGAGGUGAGAAGUGGUUGGCUGCAAUUGUAAAAAGAGAAGAUGAGAUUUGGGGAUAUAGGGUUUUGAUUUUUGAUUUU